rnacentral:rRNA from 1 species
UACGUAGGGGGCGAGCGUUGUCCGGAAUUACUGGGCGUAAAGGGCUCGUAGGCGGCCAACUAAGUCCGACGUGAAAUCCCAAAGCUUAACUUUGGAACUGCGUCGGAUACUGGAUGGCUUGAAUUCGGGAGAGGGAUGCAGAAUUCCAGGUGUAGCGGUGAAAUGCGUAGAUAUCUGGAGGAAUACCGGUGGCGAAGGCGGCAUCCUGGACCGACAUUGACGCUGAGGAGCGAAAGCUAGGGGAGCAAACGGG